rnacentral:lncRNA from 10 species
CCUUGUGGCUACUAUGAAUAUUCAUGUAUACAUAAUUGUGUAGACAUGUUUUCUUUUUCUUCUUUCUUUUUUUUUUUUUUUUUUUGAGACAGAGUCUCGCUUUGUGGCCCAGUCGGUAGCCCAGGCUGGAGUGCAGUAGUGCGAUCUCAGCUCACUGCAACCUCUGGCUCUCAUGUUCAAGCAAUUCUCCUGCCUCAGCCUCCUGAGUAGCUGGGACUACAGGAGGCUCGAUCCACCUGCCUUGGUCUCCUAAAGUGCUGGAAUUACAGGCAUGAGCCAACGCACCUGAUCUGGACAUAUGUUUUCUUUUCUUUUUUUUUUGAGAUGGAGUCUCACCCUGUUGCCUAGACUGGAGUGCAAUGGCAUGAUCCUGGCUCACUGCAACCUCCACCUCCCAGGUUCAAGCGAUUCUCCUGCCUCAGCCUCCCGAGUAGCUGGGAUUACAGUGGCGCGCCAUCACGCCCAGCUAAUUUUUGUAUUUUUAGUAGAGACGGGGUUUCACCAUGUUGGUCAGGCUGGUCUCGAACUCCUGACCUCGUGAUCCGCCUGCCUCGGCCUCCCAAAGUGCUGGGAUUACCGGCAUGAGCCAUUAUGCCCGGCCAGUAUGUUUUCACUUCUCUUGGGUAUAUAUCUAUUUAGGAGUGGAACUGCUGAGUCAUAUGGAAAUUUUACAUUAAAACUUUUGAGGACCUGCCAGACUUUUCCAAAGUAGCCUUGUGACUGGUGGGGAGACUGAGGCCCAAAGAGGGAAACUGUCUUCUGCAAAGCAACACAGUGAGUGUGAGAAAGCAGGAGCUAAUCAUGGACAUGACUUCAAUGCUGCGCCUUCUCCUCUGACCGCAUUACCAUCUCACUCUCACUCCAGUGCUCUCCAUACCCACUUCUGCCCCUCCAUUCCAUUCCUUGCCCAGCAGCAAAUCCCUUCACACCAGUCCCUACAAAGGCUUCCUGCUGCCAUCAUCAGGAUGAAGUUCCGCCUCUGAGGGAUGACUUAUAAGCUCCUCUGCCAUCUGGCCCUAGUGCUGCCUCCUCAUCUUGUCUUCUGAAGCAGUUUUAGUGAGCUAUAAUUCGCACCCCACCCCAUUCACCCGUUUUAAGUGUACAAUCCAAAUGUUUAUCAGUCCUUUCAUACUCUACACUGCAGGGUCAUGCAGGUCUUGUUUCAGUUCCAUGAAAACACCAACAUCUUUGCUUCUGAGACUUUGUGCACACCGUUACCUCUGUUUAGAACAGUCUGUAUAUUUUUUUCUGGCAAGUUCCUCAUGAUCUUUCACAUCUUAGUUGAGAUGUUUCUGCUGGGAAGCCUUCCCUGAGCAUUCGGGUUGACUGGAUGACCUGCAGGAUGUUCCCAUGGCCUCCCUAGGAUCGUCCCUGUCACAGCAUGUACUAUAGUAGUCUGAGGUUUUUUGGUUUUUGUUUUUUUUUUGAGAUGGAGUCUCACUCUAUCGCCCGGGCUGGAGUGCAGUGGCGCAAUCUCGGCUCACUGCAAGCUCCACCUCCUGGGUUCACGCCAUUCUCCUGCCUCAGCCUCCAAAGUAGCUGGGCCUACAGGCACCCGCCACCAUGCCCGGCUAAUUUUUUUGUAUUUUUUAGUGGAGAGAGGGUUUCACCGUGUUAGCCAGGUUGGUCUAGCAGUCUGAGUUUUUAAGGUCUGUGACUGUGUCUUGUUCAUAUGCAGUGCCUGGCAACACUCAAUUCACUAUUGGUUGAAUGAACAGAAAGAUCUGAAAAUAUCUAGCAUGGCCCUGAGCACACUGUAGAAAUCCUGCAAAUGUUUGCAGACCGCAAUUACUUCCAAGGACAGGGACAGCACCUCCUGUUGGGAACAUUCCAGAUGGUUUGGAUGAUUAAAGGUAAGAUAAGAUAUUUUUUGUCUGGUACCCAUGCCACUUCUUCAGGCAACAGCAUCCCAGUUUUCCUUUGGGGAAUCACUCUUAUUAUACCUUCAGUUCUUAUAGUUUAUGAGAAGCUAAGCAGUUCCUGGAAUUUGCAGUUGACUUAAGGCAGAUGAGUUAAGAUGCAACCCUAACUUUUCCUAGAUUUUUUAAAAAGGGGUGCUUUCUUUUCACUAGGAUUACUAAUCUCGUGCCUCUAUAAGAAAACUAACUGUCUAAGAAGCAGACUUGAGAAAGCAACUGAGUCCUGAUGAUAUCAUGAGAGGCCCUGGACCCAGCUGUGCCUGAAGCCAACCACCAGACAUUUUAGUUAUUGAGUCAAUUUCCAUUCCUUUUUAAUUGCUUGAGUUCAGCUUGUCACCUGCAACUGCAAUAUUCCUAAUCCAGUUAGUAACCCUCUUUCACAUACACACAUACCCAUCACACACCUUACAGACCAAACAGAGGAAUCGAGCUGACUUUUGUCCCUAAGCACGGGUUUACCUACUCACCUCAAAUCUAAAUUGUAUUUUUCUGAGUUGUGUUGUGCAGUUGACUGUCAAUAUUUAGCUUUCCUUGUACGGUACUUUCUAUACCAAGCUUGUCUGGCCUGUAGGCUGCAUGCCGCCCAGGACAGCUUGGUAUGGGGCCCAACACAAAUUCAUAAACUUUCUUAAAACAUUGUUUUUUGUUUGUUUUGUAGCUUAUCAGCUAUCGUCAGUGUUAGUGUAUUUUAUGUGUGGCCCAAGACAAUUCUUAUUCCAGUGUGGCCCAGGGAGGCCAAAGGAUUGGACACCCCUGUUCUAUUCCAUGAUCAGCAAGUAGACAUUUGCGGUGUCCUAAGUAGUAUCAGGUGAUAAGUCAAGGUGGAUGGAAGAGAUGCAAUUCUCAUUUAUAGCCUGGCCCAAAUUGAACUCCAAGAAACACACACAAUAAGCACUGCUCCCUAAGCCUGUGCGCUGUUCUGGAAAGAGCCUACUAAAACAACCUUGGCUUUUCUUUUUGACUCGCUGAUGCCAAGGACAGGUCUGUGCAUUUACUACCAGUACAAUGGGACAGGAAAGUCUCACACACAUUUUUUUAUUCUUUGAGAUGGAGUUUCACUCUUGUUGCCCAGGCUGGAGUGCAGUGGCACGAUCUCGGCUCACUGCAACCUCUGCCUCCCAGGUUCAAGUGGUUCUCCUGCCUCAGCCUCCCGAGUAACUGGGAUUACAGGUGCACACCACCAUGCCUGGCUAAUUUUUGUAUAUUUAGUAGAGACGGGGUCUCACCAUGUUGGCCAGGCUGGUCACACACAUUUUAACCACCCAUCUUUGCUACAAGGGAAAAAGGCCAAACCUUGUGUGGGUGAAGAGGCAGACUCAAAUGCUCCCGAUGCAGAGGAACGAGGCGGCUACCACUCAAUCACCAAUUACCAUUUGCAUGCUACCCAACCUGGACCUUUCCAGGGCAUACUGGACCACUCCCCACUUCCUUGGGGUGCAAUGAAUUGCAGACAGUUUAAUCCAUGGGCUUUUGCUGAUUCUGUUUUCUCUGCUUGGAAUGCCCUUCUACACAGAGGAAGUCUUUCAAGACCCAGGUCAAAGGUUAGCUCUCCUGUGAACACUUGUUCCUUUUCUAUCUGGUAUAAGCAGCCAUUUUAACUAUCGUUAAAGGUCAGGGUUUCUUAACUUGGGUCUGCGGGUCAUUAUGAAUAAGUUUUAGAGGGACAUGUCUGUAUCUAUGUCCACAUAUGUUACUCUGGAGGCCAGGGUCAGAGAUUCCAGAUUCUCAGAUUCGGUGACCUCAAAAAAAGGUCUCUUUUGGCCAGGCACAGUGGCUCAUGCCUGUAAUCCCAGCACUUUGGGAGGGUGAGGCAGGAGGAUGGCUUGAGCUCACAAGUUCAAGACCAGUCUGGGCAACAUAGCAAGGUAUCGUCUCUAAAAAAAUAAUAAAAAAUUUUAAAAAGC